rnacentral:rRNA from 1 species
GGUUAAGCGACUAAGCGUACACGGUGGAUGCCCUGGCAGUCAGAGGCGAUGAAGGGCGUGCUAAUCUGCGAUAAGCGCCGGUAAGGUGAUAUGAACCGUUAUAACCGGCGAUACCCGAAUGGGGAAACCCAGUGUGAUUCGUCACACUAUCAUUACGUGAAUACAUAGCGUAAUGAAGCGAACCGGGGGAACUGAAACAUCUAAGUACCCCGAGGAAAAGAAAUCAACCGAGAUUCCCCCAGUAGCGGCGAGCGAACGGGGAGGAGCCCAGAGCCUGAAUCAGCAUGUGUGUUAGUGGAAGCGUCUGGAAAGGCGCGCGAUACAGGGUGACAGCCCCGUACACAAAAGCGCAUGUGCUGUGAGCUCGAUGAGUAGGGCGGGACACGUGGUAUCCUGUCUGAAUAUGGGGGGACCAUCCUCCAAGGCUAAAUACUCCUGACUGACCGAUAGUGAACCAGUACCGUGAGGGAAAGGCGAAAAGAACCCCGGCGAGGGGAGUGAAAAAGAACCUGAAACCGUGUACGUACAAGCAGUGGGAGCACCCUUUGGGGUGUGACUGCGUACCUUUUGUAUAAUGGGUCAGCGACUUAUAUUCUGUAGCAAGGUUAACCG